UCCUUGCCUGUCUGCUUGCAUAGAAGUAGAUCUAUUUCUUUCCUAUCCUCUGUCUCUCUCUGAAUUCAUUCUGCACGGAGGCAUAAAGAACCUGAACCUCAGUAAACCCAGACAUCAGAGUUGAAGAGACUGAGACUUGACUCUGGCUCCUUACCUGACCCAAGGGUUUAGCUACCCCAGUGGCCGUAAGGAGAGCAACUGCGCCAUCUGCUGGCCAUCCUGGGCAAGCUCCGGCCGCGCCCCGGUGAGGAGUGGGUGGGAGGAAAUUUCCCUGCGGAAGCGGCUUUGGGGCCUAAGAAGAAUCUUGAGUCAAGAAAGGGGCUAUAACAAGUGACAAGCUCUUCCACAGGGAUAACCCAAGGGACAGAGCCCCAUUUCAGCUGGUGGCAGGAAACUGUGCCAGUAGGAGCUCCGUGCACUCAGAGGGGAGAGGCAAAUACAUAGGCAAUUAAAAUGCAGUGUGGUGACAUGAACAGUGGGGGAAAUGCAGGCAGACAAGACAGGUGAUUAAGUUGACUUGCUCCAGGUCCCUGUUAGGUGCUGCUUCUGAAUUCAGAGGGCGGAAUACGAAUUAAGCCAGGAUAAAGGAAGGCAUUUGGGAGAGAGGGUGCAGCCAGGCCUGGAAGUUUGUGCUGUCAUCCUGCUCGGGCCCAGUGCUAGUCUCUCUUUUUCUGCCCCCUUGGGCACUUGGAGGGAAUCCAGCACCGCUUCACUUGGAAAUGCUGGCCCCUGCGUUAGUGGCAGCAGCUCAGAGGGCCACCCUCUGCCCUUCACCAUCACCCUGGCGGAGAUUCCCUCCUUCCCACACCCCUUCCUAUCCAUUCCUCCUUCUGCGCAGGCAAGACUAGUGUGGUGGGGAGACUGCGGGGUGGCGCCCCUGCGCCCGCAGACCUGAAGUCAGUCACGGCCAGAAAGCACCGUGGCGAGAAUGGAGAAUGGUCCCAGUUGGUGCAUGAGGGCCCAGCACCGGCAGAUCCCUCUGCAGGUGUUAGCGUCAAGUGAUCCGGGUUGAAAGGGACGCUGCUCAGGGAGACUUAGGAAGAUCACUUUAAAAUCAAUGUUAAUUCCGCUAGUCUGCCACUCUGACCAAUUUGAAAUAUUUCAGCCAUCAUUUACUAAUACCAGUCAGAUCCUGGGUCUGUGGAAGAAGGCGGGGCACAAAUGAACACUUACUGGGGCGCCCACUGCGUGGAGUAGGAACUUUAUCAGAGUUCCUGAAAUCCUAACCAGGGGCCAUCUCCUGAGCCAGUGGGUGUUUAUUAUACUGACCCCAGAGUCCUCUGAUGUCCCUUAGCAUCUCUCAAUUCAUUUAUGGUGCAACUUGUUGGGACAGGAUUGUGUUUCACUGUGUGCUAUGCAUCUUAGGUCACAUGACUAGUCCAACAUUGACACCAAAGCCAAGAAAGUCCUAUUCUUCAGCCAAGGGGUCUACUUCCUAGCUUGCUAUAAAUCUAGGAGAGGCAUUACCUAAGUGGUUAUCUCCACUUGCAGGUGAGGUGUAAAAGCCCAUCAGAGUCUUUCCCAAGAGCCCAGGUCUAACAGAAACUCAGCUUCCUGACUUACCUUAGCUCAUGACAUUUCCUCAAAUAAAGAAUGGUUCUUUGGAGUUCCCAAUAUGGCUCAGUGGUUAAGAAUCCAACCAAUAUCCAUGAGGAUGUGGGUUCAAUCCCUGGCCUCACUCAGCGAGUUAAGGAUCCCUGCCCUAAGCUGCAUGUAGGUCACCGAUGCAGCCCAGAUCUAGCAUUGCAGUGGCUGUUGCCUAGGCUGGCAGCUGCAGCUCCAAUUCCAACCCUAGCCUGGGAACUUC
rnacentral:lncRNA from 1 species